UACGUAGGGUGCGAGCGUUGUCCGGAAUUACUGGGCGUAAAGAGCUCGUAGGUGGUUUGUCGCGUUGUCCGUGAAAACCCACGGCUCAACUGUGGGCUUGCGGUCGAUACGGGCAGGCUGGAGUUCGGUAGGGGAGACUGGAAUUCCUGGUGUAGCGGUGAAAUGCGCAGAGAUCCGGAAGAACACCGGUGGCGAAGGCGGCCCGCUGGGCAGAGACUGACGCUGAUGCGCGACAGCGUGGGGAGCAAACAGG
rnacentral:rRNA from 1 species